GUAAACGUGCAUUGCAAAGGGUAUUGGCGACCCAGAGUCAAGGCCCUGCUUACAAAGGGUAUUACUGGUGGAAUUCAACCUUCACGCAGGGGUGGAUCAGCUGGUUUGGACAACUCUCAGUAUUACCAGAGAUUUGCAUUCAGAGCUGCCCAAAAGAGAUGUUUUCAUCCCUCUCCAAUGAAUUGUCCUUGACUUCUCCUUUGCUCUGCAGCAGAAUGAUAUUCCUUACCUCUAACCCAUCCUGUUUGCAGAAACCUGACCCAUGCAACAGAAACUAAAGAAAGCUAGUCAUACCCAUAUUAUAUGGCACUUCAAAAACAUUUGCUGACUUGAAUAUAUAAAUAUACCUGUUGACAAACCUGAAGAAACACCAACACAGACAGAAUCUUUUCACUUAAUGAAUACAGGGACAUCUGAGCUUCUGCAGCACCACUGACAACGGGUCCUCCAGAGGAUAAUAUUGCAGUGAAAACUUCUCAAAAAUAUGUCCUUUUUUUUCAGUGAGUGAUAUGUGUUUGUCAAAUGAGUGAU